AGUGAACGCUGGCGGUAGGCCUAACACAUGCAAGUCGAACGGCAGCACAGUAAGAGCUUGCUCUUACGGGUGGCGAGUGGCGGACGGGUGAGGAAUACAUCGGAAUCUACUUUUUCGUGGGGGAUAACGUAGGGAAACUUACGCUAAUACCGCAUACGACCUACGGGUGAAAGCAGGGGAUCUUCGGACCUUUCGCGAUUGAAUGAGCUGAUGUCGGAUUAGCUAGUUGGCGGGGUAAAGGCCCACCAAGGCGACGAUCCGUAGCUGGUCUGAGAGGAUGAUCAGCCACACUGGAACUGAGACACGGUCCAGACUCCUACGGGAGGCAGCAGUGGGGAAUAUUCGACAAUGGGCGCAAGCCUGAUCCAGCCAUACCGCGUGGGUGAAGAAGGCCUUCGGGUUGUAAAGCCCUUUUGUUGGGAAAGAAAAGCAGCAGGUUAAUACCUCGCUGUUCUGACGGUACCCAAAGAAUAAGCACCGGCUAACUUCGUG
rnacentral:rRNA from 1 species